CGUAUCAUCGCUCUUUAUGUGAUGAUUAAAAAUGGAAUUUCGGAGGAAAAUCUAACUAAACUCUUUACACACGCCCAGUUGUCCUCUAAAGAUCAGGAUAUGGUCAGAAAUCUGAGUUAUUUGGGAAUUAAUGUCAUUGCUGAUUCACGAAAAAGUUGUACUCUGUUCCACGAAAGGAAAGGAUAACAGAAAGUACCUAUCAGAUGUCUCGUUGGACACCAGUAAUAAAAGACAUCAUGGAGGAUUGCAUAGAAGAUAAGCUAGAUUUGCGUCAUUUUCCUUUUCUUGAAGACCGAGCACAAAAUACUAAUUACCACGCGCCAACGAGUGCUCGAUACGGCCACUGGCAUAAAGACAAAGGCCAGACUCAAGUCAAAAAUGUUCCCAGACUUAUCGUAUUUGUUGUUGGCGGUUUAAGUAUGUCUGAAAUGAGAUGUGCUUACGAAGUUACCAAUUCAGUUCGCAAUUGGGAAGUAUUGGUGGGCUCUUCGCACGUAUUAUCUCCUGAAAUCUUUUAAAGUGAUUUGGGAAGUCUUUCAAAGGAAGAUUAACUAGUUUUAUUUAGCAUUGAAAAAAUAUAAACCUAUUUACGAUUUAGAAUUGUUUUAGAAGUUUAAUAUAUUGUACACUAUAUUAUUCUUAAAAAAAAUAUUUAAAAAAUAUGCAUACUCCUAUUCAAGUCAAAUAUGCAAUUCAACUAAAGCUUUGAUGGCGUGUUGUACUCCAGUAUUUAUAACUUUCAUCUAUAGAUUAUCUUACUUAAAUUCUUUGUUACUUGAAAUAAAAUCAAUAUAUAUAAAA